GUUUUUUCUUCCUUUUUUUGAGGACUAGAGUUAUGGGCUUGGUAAAGUCUUGAAAUUACUGGAAGCACUAAGAUCAGCACGGAAUGCUAGCAGCUCCAAGGAAUAAUGUGUCUGAAGAAUGUAUGCUCUGUUGAAAUGUGUUAAAGGGUGUCUACCGUAUACUUCAGCUGUGUAUAAAGUACGUGCUUCUUUUUAGUAAUCAGCUGUGUGCCUUAGCCAGAACUUCAGUCUGCUGCUUUAUGAGUUUUCUGGCAAUUUUUUAAUUAUUAGAUUUGUAAGUCUUUUCUCCUAAAGUGAGGAAGAAAGAAAUAAAAAUCUUUUUCAUUAAUUUCCAUUUUCCCCACAGAACUGAAGUUAUCGGUUCUUCUCAACAUUCACAGCAAGUCUACCAGUAUCUCCAGCUUGAAGAGAAGUAUGUUUGUAGGGCCUGUAUUUACCAGGCUUGUUUAUUUUGUUGUUACUGUUGUUGAAUCUCUUACAGAGAAACAGAAAGGGUACAACAAGAAACCACAAGAAAAUGCCUUAGCACAGGCAAAGCAACUCCGGUAGAUUGUCCUUGGAAGAGCACCUUAGGAGCUGAGACCUUGCUAGAGGAGAUCUUCAGGCUGAAAAAAGACCUGUUUCUCCUGUUGUCUGACUUCCAAUUGCUAAGCAGAGAUGAACAAAGACCAAUUUGCAAGAGGAUGGAAAGGAAGAAAUGAACAACUUGGGUUUAAAAAAGAAGGUAUGCAACUAUGACUACGUGCACAUCUAGGGAAGAAGACAAUAGUUUACAGCCACAGAAAAAGACUGGAAGAACUGCGAGAGCAUGCUACCUGAGUUGGUGCUGCACAACAAGGGAUCACGUUUAUCCAUCUUACGUAAUGCAAGAAUAGAAACUAUCAUGAGGAUUACUGAGGUAUUGCACAAAUUAUAUUUUACUUUGUAAGUAGAUAAAAUAUGGAGAGCUUUGUCUUUCCAUUUUCCUAUAUGUCACACAAAAAUUAAGUAUGUUUUUUACAAGAUUGUUUCUAUUUUUGAAUUUGAAUGUGGACUAAGAUAAAGAACAAAAAAAAUUAGCAUCAAAGGAAGUGAUAGCUAAUUAUCUGGGUUUCCUAAAGCUUAGAAGAAAUAGAAAUUUCUUUUUAAGAUAUCAUAGUUUUAGAAAGAAGGAAGAAGCUGGAAAACAGCCAUACACGUGACAUAAUUCCCUCAAAGACUGGAGAGUGUCCAGAUAGGAACAUCAAGAGGCUUUUAGUGCUGUUAAAUUAGAAUCAAUUUCCCUUGUGGGAGGGGGCUAAUUUGCAGAUAGAAAAGAAAAACAAGCUGCAGUGGAAAUUAUACCUACUAGGUAUGGUAUAGUGAGUUACUGAAUUUCUCCAUUUCUAACCUUUCUCAAGAUACCAAUGCUAUGAAAUAAAAACAACUUUAAUUAAACA
rnacentral:lncRNA from 1 species